CGUAGGUAACCUGCCUGGUAGCGGGGGAUAACUAUUGGAAACGAUAGCUAAUACCGCAUAAGAGUAGAUGUUGCAUGACAUUUGCUUAAAAGGUGCGAUUGCAUCACUACCAGAUGGACCUGCGUUGUAUUAGCUAGUUGGUGGGGUAACGGCUCACCAAGGCGACGAUACAUAGCCGACCUGAGAGGGUGAUCGGCCACACUGGGACUGAGACACGGCCCAG
rnacentral:rRNA from 1 species